ACACACACACACACUGGGUGACGUAGGGAUGAAGGGCGUAUAUAAACAGUGUGAGGUGGUUGCGGGACAGCAGUUGGGGCGGAGAUCUCAGACAAGCUACAUCUUACCUGUCAACCUCUAUAAACAUGAGUCUUCGAGUGCUGGUGCUGGUGGCGUGUGUGGCGGUGGCGUUGACUGACAUCAUCCCACCACCACCACCGUCUGGCUGUGUCGCCUUCUGUCCCCACCCAAACCCGUACCCCGGCGCCCCGGACUAUAUCUGCUGUGAUCCUCAUCCUGGUAGAUGCCCACGUAUACGCUCAGUUUGUCCGUUCUCCUCCCAAAAUGUCCCGGAGUGCAGUAAAGAUUACGACUGUCCGUUACAUGAGAAAUGUUGUGAAGACGCUUGUCUGUAUGUCAAGGUGUGCAAACUAGCCCUACACUGAGCCAAGAAGAACAAUAAACACUCGCUAAACAUGGAGGAAGGAAGCUAAGGCUAAUGAGAAGUGAGAAAUAACGAGAAGAAGCGAGGAAUGGCAAGAGAAAAGAAUAACGAAAACUUUCCCAUUGACUGAUCGAAGAAAGAAAUGACGGAACAUUAUUCAUUUCCUUUAUAAUUGUUGACAUUUUACACGUUAAUUUGUCUUUGUUGACUUGGGUUAAUAUUUUAUUGUUUAUUUCACCAUCCUACUUAUGCCUCUUAACACAAUAAAGAAGUGGAACAAAA